rnacentral:sRNA from 1 species
GACGGCGCAGUAUCCUAGUCGGGAUGGCCAUUUUACAGGAAGGGCCUAAAAAUCCUUUGAAGGGCACAUCGAUGAAGUCCCUGGUGUCUGCUUUUUACGCCCAGUUUAGGGUGGAUGCUGGGGGUUAAGGAUUCCGGGCGCGUCCCAAUGGCAUGGGACAUACGACCCGGUCUCCGUGGAGACCUGAAUUUGUGCGACGGCGGAAAAUGACCCCAUGUUGGGGAACCGUCCGCGUACGAACCAGGAUAGGAACCUGCAAGGCAGUGCGCAGAAUCGUGUGCUGCGUGUAGCGUAGCCUGCCUUGAGUGAACAAGUGGGGAAAGAGGAUCAUGCGGCUGGCUGCUAUGGCCAUGGCAGCUGCCGAUAUCGCCUCUGGAAACCUUGUUUGCAAAAGAGGCUAAGACUAUGGUUCGUCCUGCCGUGGAAAACACCUAGGCUGUCGUAACUGGGCAGGCAGGGGAUUACAGUACGGACUAAGUGGCAAUCGGGUAGUCAAAUUUGGCAACACUUGAACAGAGGAAUGAAAUGGAAACGGCCUGUUCGGCAACGGCAGGUUUCCUCUGGGGAAAACCAACCCGACCUAAGCCGUAAGAUUUAUUCUGUCUGCUGCCGUCUAUCUUUCAU